rnacentral:lncRNA from 1 species
CGGUAACUUGCAUUAUACAAAUGGGAAAUAGCAUAAUAAAAUAUGUAAAGUAAUAAAAAGAAGUUUUCACCCAGAUAAUUAAGAAUGAAAAGUAUUAUUGAGAUAAUACAUAUCUCACCAAUUCAAUAUGAAUUGGAUGUUGCUCCUCAAAGUACCAAUACAUUUGAGUCAUUCAUCCUUAGCUUCAAGUUAUGUUUGAUUUUAUUGGUCUAAUAUACAAAUUAUAAUAAUUACAGUUGAAAUAAUAAAAUGAACAAAAAAUAAAAAAAAUAAGAUGAUUUUUUUCUUGGCUGAGAUGCAGAUAUCUCGUUCUCUUCAAGGAGAUUCAAGUCCAUUUUCAUUUGUCCCUUUCAGGAUACAAUAACCCAUCAAUGAUAUACUUCUUAAGCAAGUCCGAAUUAGUUGAAGACUUCAAAACUCCACCACAAAAACACCUUCGUUCCUGCAAAAUAUAAAACUCUCUUUUUUAUAGGGAAUAUAGUUGGAGAUUUAGAGCAUUUUCUUUGUCUCAACUCUGUUUUUCACUGAUAUAAUUACUCACUUUCGUAUAGUGGAUAUAAUUGUAGACUUAAAAUAUUUUCGUUAUCUCAACUUUUUCUUUCGCUACACUAACUCAAAAUACAACAUUUCACAUAUCCCCAAAAUACUUCUUCUCCUC